rnacentral:misc_RNA from 1 species
GAAAUGCGAUAAGUAAUGUGAAUUGCAGAAUUCAGUGAAUCAUCGAAUCUUUGAACGCACCUUGCGCUCCUUGGUAUUCCUUGGAGCAUGCCUGUUUGAGUAUCAUGAAAUCUUUAAAGUAAAUCUUUUGUUAACUCAAUUGGUUUCUACUUUGGUAUUGGAGGUCUUUGCAGCUUCACACCUGCUCCUCUUUGUUCAUUAGCUGGAUCUCAGUGUUAUGCUUGGUUCCACUCGGCGUGAUAAGUUAUCUAUCGCUGAGGACACUGUAAAAGGUGGCCAAGGUAAAUGCAGAUGAACCGCUUCUAAUAGUCCAUUGACUUGGACAAUACUUUUAUGAUCUGAUCUCAAAUCAGGUAGUACUACCCGCUGAACUUAAGC